rnacentral:rRNA from 1 species
GAUGAACGCUGGCGGCGUGCCUAAUACAUGCAAGUCGAGCGAACAGACGAGAAGCUUGCUCCCCACACGUUAGCGUCUGACGGGCGAGCAACACGGGGACAACCUAGUUAUCUGCCUGGGAUCACUGCGGGACAAUGGAGCUAAAUCCGUAUAAUCUCAUGAUAUUAAUGGUUCCAUAAUGAAAGACGGUAAUGCUGUAUCUUAUAGCUAGAACCUGGCCGCAUUUGCUAUUUGGUAAGGUAACGGCUUACCAAGGCAACGAUGCGUAGCAGACCUCAGAGGUGGAUCGGCCACACUGGAACUGAGACACGGUCCAGACUCCUACGGGAGGCAGCAGAAGGGAAUCUUCGGCAAUGGGCGAAAGCCUGACGGAGCAACGCCGCGGGAGGGAGAAAGUUCUUCGGAUCGUAAAACUCUGUUAUUGGGGAGGAACAAUGGUGUAAGUGACUAUUCACGUCUUGACGGUACCUAAUCAGAAAGCGACGGCUAACUACGUG